rnacentral:rRNA from 1 species
GACAGAGGUGCCAAGCGUUAGGCGGAAUCACUGGGCUUAAAGCGUGUGUAGGCGGGUCGUUAAGUACCUUGUGAAAUCCCACGGCUCAACCGUGGAACUGCUUGGUAUACUGGCGAUCUUGAGCCAGCUAGGGGCUACCGGAACAAAUGGUGGAGCGGUGAAAUGCGUAGAUAUCAUUUGGAACGCCAAUGGUGAAAACAGGUAGCUGGGGCUGUGCUGACACUGAGACACGAAAGCCAGGGGAGCAAACGGG